CGCACCUUGCGCUCCUUGGUAUUCCAUGGAGCAUGCCUGUUUGAGUGUCAUGGAAUUCUCAAUCCCUUAGAUUUUGUCAUGAAGUCUAGUGGGACUUGGACUUGGAGGUCGUGUCGGCUCUAGUCAGUCGACUCCUCUUAAAUGCAUUAGCGUGAAUGUUACGGAUCGCCUUCAGUGUGAUAAUUAUCUGCGCUGUGGUGUUUGAAGUAUUUUGUAUUCGUGCUUACAAUCGUCUCUCUUUGAGACAAUUACUUGACAAUCUGACCUCAAAUCAGGUAGGACUACCCGCUGAACUUAA
rnacentral:misc_RNA from 1 species